AUUGAACGCUGGCGGCAUGCCUUACACAUGCAAGUCGAACGGCAGCAUGAUCUAGCUUGCUAGAUUGAUGGCGAGUGGCGAACGGGUGAGUAAUACGUCGGAACGUGCCCUGUAGUGGGGGAUAACUAGUCGAAAGAUUAGCUAAUACCGCAUACGACCUGAGGGUGAAAGUGGGGGACCGCAAGGCCUCAUGCUAUAGGAGCGGCCGAUGUCUGAUUAGCUAGUUGGUGAGGUAAAGGCUCACCAAGGCGACGAUCAGUAGCUGGUCUGAGAGGACGAUCAGCCACACUGGGACUGAGACACGGCCCAGACUCCUACGGGAGGCAGCAGUGGGGAAUUUUGGACAAAGGGCGAAAGCCUGAUCCAGCAAUGCCGCGUGUGUGAAGAAGGCCUUCGGGUUGUAAAGCACUUUUGUCCGGAAAGAAAUGGCUCUGGUUAAUACCUGGGGUCGAUGACGGUACCGGAAGAAUAAGGACCGGCUAACUACGUG
rnacentral:rRNA from 1 species